rnacentral:rRNA from 1 species
AGUGAACGCUGGCGGCGUGCCUAACACAUGCAAGUCGAACGGGCUAGUGCUUCGCACUAGUCUCUUUCUGGGGUUGCUACUCUAAGGCUACCUGCUAAAGUUAUUGCUUUAAAGCAGGGGUUUUAGGGGACCUUCCCCAAAAGGGGCCAGUGCGGAGCACUGGCCAGUGGCGAACGGGUGAGUAACACGUGGGUAAUCUGCCCUCGAGUGGGGAAUAAGCUCCCGAAAGGGGGUCUAAUACCGCAUGACGUUUCAUAACGAUGGUUAUGAAACCAAAGCCCAAAAGGCGACUUGAGGAGGAGCCUGCGUCCUAUCAGCUUGUUGGCAGGGUAAUGGCCUACCAAGGCUAUGACGGGUAGCCGGCCUGAGAGGGUGUCCGGCCACACUGGAACUGAGACACGGUCCAAGACUCCUACGGGAGGCAGCAGUGGGAAUUUUGCGCAAUGGGGGAAAACCCUGACGCAGCGACGCCGCGUGGAGGAUGACGGCCUGUGUAGUACUUCUAGAGAGAAGACGACCG